GGGGCUGCCAUUUUGCUGAUGGUGCAGAUGGGACCUCCUGCUGAGAAGUAAAUUGAGAAUAAGGAAAUGCAGCUCAUCGUGGGAUGAUAUGAGAAAGAGACCAUCAAAGUCACUGUAAGCAGGUGAGCAUGACUGGAGAACAAGUGAGCAUUCCUGAAUUAGGUGGAAGAAGGACCCAGCUUGCACUGAGGAAGGAGCUAGGAAUGGCUAGGAAUGGCUGCUCUCCAUUCAGGAAGAUUUAUGAAAUAAACAUGUAUGGUAGCUGAGGAGAGGAAAAGAAGGAGUUAACAGCAAGAACACUGAUCCAGAAGUCUGAGGAAAAAGUAAUGUGACAAUACCAAUUGAGAGAGACUGGAAUUUUCUUUUUUCGCCCCAAUUUUUUUCUAAUUUGUUUUAGUUUUGAGCUUUUUGGUAAUACAAACAUCCUUCUCCUUGAAAGGGUCUGCCUAACUUUGCUGAGAAUUUCUACCAGCUUGCAAACUUUCUGACAAACUUCCAGAAUAGCAUACAGCAAGAUCUCUAGUCUUCACUAUUGUCCCCCUAAAGAACAUAGCAUCUUCUCUUCAGACCGGCACUCAGUCAGGAUUUAAAAACUUUGUGCGACAGCGUCUCUGUGGACAUUGAGAAAUUGUUUAUUUCUGGACUUGUUAUCUAUAGCUAUCGAGACAGUAUAAAAUCAUUAAAACUAUAUGAAGAUUACAACUUAUCUGCAAUGCAGCCAUUUGUAGAAACUCACCUGACCAAAGGCAUCCAAUUAAUAAAGAUACUUGAGGGAAUCAGAAUAUAAACUUAAAUGAAAAUAAUUUACUCUCUAAUCUUUCCCAUUAAGUUCCUUUGUUCAUACAAUAAAGUUAAAUGACUCAAACACAA